UACGGGAGGCAGCAGUGGGGAAUUUUGGACAAUGGGGGCAACCCUGAUCCAGCCAUUCCGCGUGAGUGAAGAAGGCCUUCGGGUUGUAAAGCUCUUUCGGCAGGAANGAAACGGUGUGGGCUAAUACCCUUCAUCAAUGACGGUACCUGAAGAAGAAGCACCGGCUAACUACGUGCCAGCAGCCGCGGUAAUACGUAGGGUGCGAGCGUUAAUCGGAAUUACUGGGCGUAAAGCGUGCGCAGGCGGUUUUGUAAGACAGAUGUGAAAUCCCCGGGCUUAACCUGGGAACUGCGUUUGUGACUGCGAGACUCGAGUGUGGCAGAGGGGGGUGGAAUUCCACGUGUAGCAGUGAAAUGCGUAGAGAUGUGGAGGAACACCGAUGGCGAAGGCAGCCCCCUGGGUCAACACUGACGCUCAUGCACGAAAGCGUGGGGAGCAAACAGGAUUAGAUACCCUGGUAGUCCACGCCCUAAACGAUGCGAACUAGGUGUUGGAGAAGGAGACUUCUUUAGUACCGUAGCUAACGCGUGAAGUUCGCCGCCUGGA
rnacentral:rRNA from 1 species